AGAGUUUGAUCAUGGCUCAGAUUGAACGCUGGCGGCAGGCCUAACACAUGCAAGUCGAACGGUAACAGGAAGCAGCUUGCUGCUUCGCUGACGAGUGGCGGACGGGUGAGUAAUGUCUGGGAAGCUGCCUGAUGGAGGGGGAUAACUACUGGAAACGGUAGCUAAUACCGCAUAAUGUCGCAAGACCAAAGAGGGGGACCUUCGGGCCUCUUGCCAUCGGAUGUGCCCAGAUGGGAUUAGCUUGUUGGUGGGGUAACGGCUCACCAAGGCGACGAUCCCUAGCUGGUCUGAGAGGAUGACCAGCCACACUGGAACUGAGACACGGUCCAGACUCCUACGGGAGGCAGCAGUGGGGAAUAUUGCACAAUGGGCGCAAGCCUGAUGCAGCCAUGCCGCGUGUAUGAAGAAGGCCUUCGGGUUGUAAAGUACUUUCAGCGGGGAGGAAGGGAGUAAAGUUAAUACCUUUGCUCAUUGACGUUACCCGCAGAAGAAGCACCGGCUAACUCCGUGCCAGCAGCCGCGGUAAUACGGAGGGUGCAAGCGUUAAUCGGAAUUACUGGGCGUAAAGCGCACGCAGGCGGUUUGUUAAGUCAGAUGUGAAAUCCCCGGGCUCAACCUGGGAACUGCAUCUGAUACUGGCAAGCUUGAGUCUCGUAGAGGGAGGUAGAAUUCCAGGUGUAGCGGUGAAAUGCGUAGAGAUCUGGAGGAAUACCGGUGGCGAAGGCGGCCCCCUGGACGAAGACUGACGCUCAGGUGCGAAAGCGUGGGGAGCAAACAGGAUUAGAUACCCUGGUAGUCCACGCCGUAAACAAUGUCGACUUGGAGGUUGUGCCCUUGAGGCGUGGCUUCCGGAGCUAACGCGUUAAGUCGACCGCCUGGGGAGUACGGCCGCAAGGUUAAAACUCAAAUGAAUUGACGGGGGCCCGCACAAGCGGUGGAGCAUGUGGUUUAAUUCGAUGCAACGCGAAGAACCUUACCUGGUCUUGACAUCCACGGAAGUUUUCAGAGAUGAGAAUGUGCCUUCGGGAACCAUGAGACAGGUGCUGCAUGGCUGUCGUCAGCUCGUGUUGUGAAAUGUUGGGUUAAGUCCCGCAACGAGCGCAACCCUUAUCCUUUGUUGCCAGCGGUCCGGCCGGGAACUCAAAGGAGACUGCCAGUGAUAAACUGGAGGAAGGUGGGGAUGACGUCAAGUCAUCAUGGCCCUUACGACCAGGGCUACACACGUGCUACAAUGGCGCAUACAAAGAGAAGCGACCUCGCGAGAGCAAGCGGACCUCAUAAAGUGCGUCGUAGUCCGGAUUGGAGUCUGCAACUCGACUCCAUGAAGUCGGAAUCGCUAGUAAUCGUGGAUCAGAAUGCCACGGUGAAUACGUUCCCGGGCCUUGUACACACCGCCCGUCACACCAUGGGAGUGGGUUGCAAAAGAAGUAGGUAGCUUAACCUUCGGGAGGGCGCUUACCACUUUGUGAUUCAUGACUGGGGUGAAGUCGUAACAAGGUA
rnacentral:rRNA from 1 species